rfam:Bombyx mori DNA, contig: Bm_scaf70_contig30854, strain: p50T/Dazao, build 2, whole genome shotgun sequence.
UUGGCUCAUAUUUGUAUGGAAUGGGAUCGUUUGCCUACGUUUGCCACUAGGGGCGCUGUUCCAACUGCAUACAAAAUUGGGCUA